UUUUUUGGGUGUCAUUAGUUUUCCUAGUGGAUUCGCUUGUUUCCUUUCACUUGUUGUUCUUAGACAAUUCAAUGUAAUUAUACAUUCAAUGGUGUCAAAGUUUUAGCUAACUGAUUUGGACUUGCUCUGAUGUUGUUUUAGUGAGGAUCUUUUGGACUUGCUAAAAUAAGCAUUUAUGUUAAACUUUUUCCAUGAAAUUGCAGCACAAUUGUUUAGUGAACUGAAGGAAAUGGACAAGAACAUAGCAUGCAUAUGAUGGAACUAAAGGCUUACUCAGAUAAACAUUCUUUUAAUUUAUUUUUCUUUUUGAAUGUGCGAUAACACAUGUACUGGUGUGGUGAGAACAAUUGCAUUUUUGGCAUGGUCUGAUAUAGUAGAAUGCCAUAGACUCUAAAGAAGUAACUAGAAUGGCAUGAACAUGUGUAUUGAGGACUUGAGGAGGUGCCUGUAAGGGGAGCUGCUCGAGUUUGGUUUAUCAAUUUAUGAAGAGGAGAAGAAGAUGCUAGCGAUCUGGAAGAAAGUUGG
rnacentral:lncRNA from 1 species